UACGUAGGGGGCAAGCGUUGUCCGGAUUUAUUGGGCGUUAAAGAGCGUGUAGGCGGCCAUACAGGUCAGCUGUGAAAACUCGAGGCUCAACCUCGAGACGUCGGUUGAAACCGUAUGGCUAGAGUCCGGAAGAGGAGAGUGGAAUUCCCGGUGUGAGCGGUGAAAUGCGCAGAUAUCGGGGAAGAACACCCGUGGCGAAGGCGGCUCUCUGGGACGGUACUGACGCUGAGACGCGAAAGCGUGGGGAGCGAACCGG
rnacentral:rRNA from 1 species